GGGCGGCUGCCCUAAUAAUUUCUCUGGUUUAUAUUCCCUUAAACUAUAUAUAUAUAAUUUUAUUAGGCCAGAAGUAAAGCUGCUACACAGUAUUGAACACACGUCAAGUGACGAAUUUUGUCUUCCACUGUUUUGAUAAAUUCAUCCUUUUCUCUGUCUUCCCUUCCAAGUAUGUAUGUUUCCAUAUCACCUGCAAGUUGCAACUUGUCUUCUCCUCUCCAUGUUUAUAUGUUGUGUAUUCUAACCUAUUUGUCACUCGUUGGUAAUAAGAAGACUCAUCUUUUAACUUCCUUCCAGGAUUCGAAUUUUUAAAGCAUAAAAGAAGAACCGCAGGAAGGUGAUAAAAUUCCAGUAAGGAGAUGGCGGUGGUAGAUUCUAUGAUUCAAAUCCUCGCAGAGCAAGUGUUUACAGCUCUCCAGAACCAAGCUCAUUUUGCACUUGACUUCAAAGGUCAAUUUGAGGUGAUGAAGACGAGACUGGAUCUAACGAAGGCCUUGCUUGCUGACACAGAAAAUCUCAAAAGUAAGAAGGAAAUUGUCAAGGCAAGUUUGUCGAGCUUAAGAGAAUUGGUUUAUGAAGCUGACAACAUAUUAACAGACUGCCUAAUUAGAGAUGAAUAUCAGAAUGAUGGAUCCUGUUCUAGUUUGACAUUCCAAAAACCGUUGUUCUGGUAUCAAACAGGCAAGAAACUGAAGGAUAUUAAUGCAAAAAUGGAGGCAAUGGAAAGAUCUUUGGGUGCAUAUUUGAAAGCACAAGACUUGAGCAACCAUGGAGAUGGUGCACACCAAAUUGUGAAAUACACAACACAAGAUUAUGACCCAUCUGAGAUAAUUGGACUAGAACACGACUUGGAAAAGUUAAAAGGCUGGAUUUUUGGCACAACGAAUGUACUUCAUCGGGUUGGCAUAGUAGGGAUGGGGGGCUUAGGGAAAACAACCGUAGCCCAGAAAAUUUUUAAUGAUGUGGAGGUUACUAAACGUUAUGACAAGAUGCUUUGGGUGUCAGUUUCUCAAAAUUCUAGCGAGGAAAGGAUCAUGAGGAGCAUGCUGGAACAACUCGAACCAAAUUUCUCCGUGUCUGAUGAGAGUCAGAUGAUGCACAAAAUCAACCAAGCUCUUGAAGGUAAAACUUGCCUAAUUUUUAUGGAUGAUGUUUGGAGGAUGAAUUUACCUUGGUGGGAUAAAUUCUGUUCAAGCCUGCAGAAAGUAAUUGGUGGAAGUAGCUGUGUUAUUAUCACUACCAGAAAUGAAGAGGUUGCAACUGAUAUGGGUGUUGACAAAUCACAAAUUCAUCAGCCAAAAACUCUGAAUAAAGAUGAAAGCUGGUUGUUGUUCAGUAAAUUUGCAUUUGCAAGGUGCAGAGGGAAACGUUGCCCAGAUGCACAAUUUGAUAAAGAAGGCAGGGAAAUCCUGGAUAAAUGUGGGGGACUUCCACUGGCA
rnacentral:misc_RNA from 1 species